AAACGCAACCGUAGUUGCAGCGGAGGAGCUUGAAAAGCAUUUAGAAAUCCAGUGGAUAUUGUUGGAAUCGACUUUAUUUUACAUAAUUACAUCCCAGGGACAUUUAGUUUUGGAUUGCGUAUGAAUAUUUUAUAAGUGGACGUAGGGAGAUUCUCAGUACAUCCUCAGUAUAUCUUAUGGAUUUUUAUGGACAUUAGGAUGUUUGAAAAGUCCUUGAGAUACAUCCGAUGGACGUACUUCGGCUCAACUUUUGCUGUGUGGAUGGGUUAUGUUUGAUGUGGAAUCGCAGAGAUCGUGCACGCGUAAUUUAAAUCUUACAUAUAAGCGGAUAAACAAUACUAAGAUUGAAAUUGGAUUAAAGAAAAUAAAUUUAAAACAAUGUUCCAUCUGAUGUGUAAAUUUAAAGCAAUGUUUCAACCACUUUUGCUUUGGCAAACUAACCCUUUUUUUCCCUUGAGUCUGUCUGAUGUUAUGAUAAGACAUUUUAACAGAAAGAAUUUUCGUCUAGCCAUACUUUAGAAAACCGAUACGCAUACGCAUAAUGCAGCGUCUAAAGUCAUUUACUUGGAUGAUUGUUUUGAUCUAUUUACAUUGCAUUUAUCAUUUAUAAACAAAUAAAAAUAUUCAAUAUUUUUAUCGCUAAAGUAAAAGUUAAAAUUAAUUUUUUAAUUUUUGUUCAAAUUGAUACGAAAUUAAGAACAUUUUAAUGUAAUACUUUUUAUUGACUAAAGAUGUAAGUAUGGAGCUUCCUUAACCUUUCGUUUACACUCUGGGUGAGCCACCCAUACGGUUACUUUGACGCUCUGUACCUUUUCCAAUUUUUAGAAUAUCGGACUAGUGGGUCUAUUUAGUACUAGAUUGAGGAAUUAACUAUAGUUUAGGAUUAUUGCGUGGCAAAUGUCAGUGUUGUCUGAGCUGUCGUCAGAGGUAGUUAAGAUAACACUCACGCUUGCCAUUAUGUAAUAGUCCUGAACUAUUCCAAUUUUAUUUAUAAAUAUUUCUUACAUUUCUUGCCAAAAAAUAAAAUUUUUAUAUAAAAAUUUCUGUUUGUUUAUUUAUCGAAACAGUCUACCUUCCGUAUGCAAAAUAAAUAUCUUUUUUAGAGCCCACUAAAAAAAUAUUUUUUCUUUAAAAAUAUUAUAUCUAAACAACAACUCUGUAAAUUUAGCUUCUAAUAUUGAAAUCUGUAAAAGUUACAAUUCUUUUAAGAUUUUCUUUAUUUUUUCUCGACAUAUAAAUGAGAAUUUGGUUACAAAAAUUAUAAUAAGAUUUCAUUAAAAAAACUAUUGCAAUACAUUCUAGAAAUCUUGAAAUUGAUCUAUGAUUUUUCUUAUGACGAUUGAAUGUUUUAUAUAAAAAUGGCAGUUGUUAAAAAUUGUUCUAGGUGAGUCACCCAGUAUGUCAAAGUUGAUCGAAAAAAAA